UUUUAUUUAUUUAUUUUCCUUUAAGAGCUAAUAUUUAUUGUACCCUUAGUAUACCUAGAAACUGUUUUAGGCUCUUUUCCCCCAUGUAUUAAUUCAUAUAAUCUGUUCAACAACCCUGUGAAAUAAGUACAAUUAUUAUACCUAUUUUACAGAUGAGGAAACUGAGGACCAGAGAAAACAACUAGUUUUCCAGAGCUCUCACCAUUGAGAUGAUGCCUGCAACAUCUUCGACAUUCUACACAUGGGAGUUGGGUUCUAAUUCCCUCCCUUGAUCCGGGAUCGCCUUACUGACUCGCUUGGCCAGUAGCACGCAGUGGAAGUCAAUGUCUGGAACUUUCAAGACAUCUCCCUUCCAACUCUUGGCGCUUCUGCUAUCCAGAACCACAUCAGCUUCCUGAACAGACCAAUGUCCACCUGCACCUGGGCCUCUGCAUGUCUCUUUCCUCUGAAUAUGGAAGCAAAAUCGGAUUUGACAUCGUCCCCUUCCUUCCAUGACCACUGAUAUCACUCCUCUGCUCCAAUUACAGCCUCAAGAGUGGAUCCACACCUUCCUUCUUCUAAGUGUAAUUAAAGAGGCCCUUUGUGCCGCCUUCAGAUUUUUUUUUCUUGUCCCAACUUUUCCUGUGCUCUUGUCUCCGUGGAACUAUUCAUACAGGUCAGUAUCAUUUUCCUUCUAGAAAAUGAGUCCAUUGGAAAGCCUCCCGGUUAGCCAUAAAACUUGAGAUCCCAGGGAAAGAUGUGGUCUUUCUUGCUGGAGACUGACUCAGAGAUUAUUUUCAUGAAGCCAAGGAGUUUAAGCUCAGAGCCCCUCCCUUGUUUAAAUCCCCUCAAGGACCUGAGGGUAAGAACCCUAGUAUUGUGUCCUA
rnacentral:lncRNA from 10 species